rnacentral:rRNA from 1 species
GAUGAACGCUAGCUACAGGCUUAACACAUGUAAGUCGAGGGGAAACGACAUCGAAAGCUUGCUUUGGUGGGCGUCGACCGGCGCACGGGUGAGUAACGCGUAUCCAACCUGCCCACCACUUGGGGAUAACCUUGCGAAAGUAAGACUAAUACCCAAUGAUAUCCCACGAAGGCAUCCGAAUGGGAUUAAAGAUUUAUCGGUGAUGGAUGGGGAUGCGUCUGAUUAGCUUGUUGGCGGGGUAACGGCCCACCAAGGCGACGAUCAGUAGGGGGUUCUGAGAGGAAGGUCCCCCACAUUGGAACUGAGACACGGUCCAAACUCCUACGGGAGGCAGCAGUGAGGAAUAUUGGUCAAUGGACGAGAGUCUGAACCAGCCAAGUAGCGUGCAGGAUGACGGCCCUAUGGGUUGUAAACUGCUUUUAUAAGGGAAUAAAGUGAGCCUCGUGAGGCUUUUUGCAUGUACCUUAUGAAUAAGGACCGGCUAAUUCCGUG